UUCCUGGUGGUCCAGUGCUCUGGACUGUGCCCUUCCACUGCAGGGGGCGCAAGUUCGAUCCUUGUCUGGGAAC
rnacentral:tRNA from 1 species